rnacentral:rRNA from 1 species
AGAGCGAACGCUGGCGGCGUACUUAACACAUGCAAGUCGAACGAGGAUCAUCGGGUUAGCAAUAAUUCGGUGGUCCUAGUGGCGCACGGGUGAGUAACACGUGGGUGACCUGCCCUUGAGCUCGGGAUACCCCCUCGAAAGGGGGGCUAAUACCGGAUACGUUCCUCGGUCGAAAGACUGAGGAGGAAAGGUGGCGCAAGCUGCCGCUCUUGGAGGGGCUCGCGGCCUAUCAGCUAGUUGGCGGGGUAACGGCCCACCAAGGCUAUGACGGGUAGCUGGUCUGAGAGGACGACCAGCCACACGGGGACUGAGACACGGCCCCGACUCCUACGGGAGGCAGCAGUGGGGAAUUUUCGCAAUGGCGAAAGCCUGACGGAGUGACGCCGCGUGUGGACGAAGGCCGUUCGGGUCGUAAACCACUGUCGAGUGGAAAGAGUAGGUGUCGGUGACUAAUACCAUCGGCUAGUCUGACGUACCGUCGCGAGAGGAACGCCCCGGACCACGUACUGUCGCCAGCCAGGCCGUA